CAGCAGUGGAAGAGCUGCUGCUGGUGGAAAGGGAAGGUUUCCUUUUCUGUGAGGGCAGCAUUAAUGAAUACAGAAGUGGCAUGAUGGGAUUACUAGCUAUGAAGACAACACCCCACAAAUGAGAUCAAGGCCAGUGAAGCUUCUAUGGGAGCCCUCGGGUACUAUACCAGCAGAGGUAAAACAAAAUAUUAAACUUAAUGAUCUUAAAAUUUUUAAUGUGUGUCACAGCCCAUUUAAAAGGGCCAAAACAGCCUUUGCUACGCCCUUCCCAAGGAUUCAACUUGCCUGCCAUGUAUAAAAUUUGCCACUACCGCCUAUUU
rnacentral:lncRNA from 1 species